rnacentral:tRNA from 1 species
GGGCGAGUGGCGGAACGGUAGACGCGCUGGCCUUAGGAGCCAGUGAGCGCAAGCUCGUAGGGGUUCAAGUCCUCUCUCGCCCACCA